UACGGAGGGAGCUAGCGUUGUUCGGAAUUACUGGGCGUAAAGCGCACGUAGGCGGCUUUGUAAGUUAGAGGUGAAAGCCUGGGGCUCAACCCCAGAAUUGCCUUUAAGACUGCAUCGCUUGAAUCCAGGAGAGGUGAGUGGAAUUCCGAGUGUAGAGGUGAAAUUCGUAGAUAUUCGGAAGAACACCAGUGGCGAAGGCGGCUCACUGGACUGGGUAUUGACGCUGAGGUGGCGAAAGCGUGGGGAGCAAACAGG
rnacentral:rRNA from 1 species